GCUCUGUUGUAAGGGAAGAACAUUCAGGAUAGGAAAUGAUCUUGAACUGACGGUACCUUACCAGAAAGCCACGGCUAACUACGUGCCAGCAGCCGCGGUAAUACGUAGGUGGCAAGCGUUAUCCGGAAUUAUUGGGCGUAAAGGGUGCGUAGGCGGUUUAUUAAGUCUAUGGUGAAAGUGCGGGGCUCAACCCCGUAUGGCCAUAGAAACUGGUAGACUUGAGUGCAGGAGAGGGCAAUGGAAUUCCAUGUGUAGCGGUAAAAUGCGUAGAUAUAUGGAGGAACACCAGUGGCGAAGGCGGUUGCCUGGCCUGUAACUGACGCUGAAGCACGAAAGCGUGGGGAGCAAAUAGGAUUAGAUACCCUAGUAGUCCACGCCGUAAACGAUGAAUACUAAGUGUUGGAGAAAUUCAGUGCUGCAGUUAACGCAAUAAGUAUUCCGCCUGGGGAGUAUGACGCAAGUGUGAAACUCAAA
rnacentral:rRNA from 1 species